rnacentral:tRNA from 1 species
GAAGUAACUUAAAAUGAACUUCUAAUUCAUUAUUUGUGAUUAACUCAAUCACUUACUUCA